UUGAUUCUGCCUGACGUGGACGCUAGUCUCACAGAUUUAGCCAUGCAUGUGUAAGCGAAGCAUAUUGUGGAGCGGCGAAAGGCUCAGUAACGGGCGAUUUAUUUAUUCUUCUGUGACGGACAACACCGGGAAACUGGUGGGAAAACGUCUAUACUGCAGGAGUAGAAUUCUGUGGUAGAAAGAUUUAUCUGUGGAAGAGUAAGAUGCCAUCCUAUCAGUUAGUAAGUAGGGUAAGGGCCUACUUAGACGAAGACGGGUACGGGGAAUGAGGGUUUGAUUCCGGAGAGGGAGCCUGAGAGAUGGCUACCAGGACCAAGGUCAGCAGCAGGCGCGAAAAUUAUCGAAGCCCACUUUGGGGCGAUAGUGAGGAGACGUAAAUAUGAUGUACGGGUAAAGAACGUACUAUAAACUGGAGGUCAAGUCUGGUGCCAGCAUCCGCGGUAAUUCCAGCUCCAGGGGUGUCUAUGAUGAUUGCUGCGAUUAAAAAGUCCGUAGUCUAGCCGCACGACCAGUCUGGAAUGUUUCUGAUCAAAAGAAGAGCAGGGCUGGGAAGGCGGAGAAUUAGGAGCGACCAGGGGCUAGAGUAUUGAAUGGCGAGAGGUGAAAUUUGAUGACCCAUUCAGGAGUGACAAAGGCGAAGGCACUAGUCAGGGGCGAAUCCGAUGAUCAAGGACGUAGGCUAGAGUAUCGAAAACGAUUAGAGACCGGAGUAGUUCUAGCAGUAAACUAUGCCGACUUUGUGGCAGAGGUAUCUGUUGCAAACGAGAAAUCUUAAGUAAGGCUUUGGGGAGAGUACGCGCGCAAGCGAUAAAUUUAAAGGAAAUUGACGGAGGAACACCACAAGGAGUAGAGUGUGCGGCUUAAUUUGACUCAACGCGGGACAGCUUACCAGGCCCGAUGAACCGGGCGAGCGUGAUACGCGAUAGGUUUAGAAGUGGUGCAUGGCUGCUAUCGACAGUUGGGGUGACCUUAGGGUUAAUUCCGGCAAGUAGUGAGACCCCCGUGUAUAGACAGGCAUUGUUAAGAUGCAGGAAGGAGGGGACAAGAGCAGGUCAGUGAUGCCCUUAGAUGGCCUGGGCUGCACGCGCACUACAGUGGUCAUAAUAAGAAGUAAGUAGAAGGAAUUAUGAUCGAGAGGGACUGGGCUUUGUAAUAGGCCCACGAACGAGGAAUUGCUAGUAAUCGUAGGCUCAUUAGGAUACGAUGAAUAUGUCCCUGUACCUUGUACACACCGCCCGUCGUUAUCGAAGAUGGAAUUGUAUGCGAACGAGCGUGAGCGAGUGAGCGUGCGGUUCUAGAUGUGAUAAAAGUCGUAACAAGGCAACUGUAGGAGAACCUGUAGUUGGAUCA
rnacentral:rRNA from 1 species